rnacentral:snoRNA from 1 species
UCUUGUAUCCAAAAAUGACCAUGGGGUUGCCUGUGCCCCGAUCAUUCAUAGUGCAGGGGUAGGAGUGCUAAGAGAUGUUUUCCCUGCGUUGGCCCAGCCUUCCCUUUCAAACCCUGGAGCUUUCCCAUG